GUAUUAGUUAUGUUCUUUAAACCUAAAGAAUUUGGCGGUGUUUUAGUCUUUUUAGAGGAAUUUGUCCCGUUAUCGAUAAUCCCCGUUUUAUCUUUCUUUUACUUGUAUUCAGUAUGUAUACCGCCGUUAUAAGUUAAUGUUUUUAGAUUCAAUUAAUUGACUUCAUAUUUUAUUAUAUAUUAUUUCAGGUCAAGGUGCAGCUCAUGUUGAAGUGGAGAUGAGUUACAAUAUUAUUUGAGUGUCUGGAUUUGAUUUUGAAUUUUGUAUAAUCAAUGAAAUUGGAUUUAAUAGUAAUUUAAUUAAUAGUGAUUAUUUGAUUUUAGCUCUGGUAUGAGUACACAUCGCCCGUCGCUCU
rnacentral:rRNA from 1 species